UGGCUCUCAAAUGCCAGGACACCUUUCCCC
rnacentral:piRNA from 1 species